UCUGCAUAGUGCUACCAGAAGUGGUGCUGGCUUCUGCAAGGGCUACAUCUGCUCAUCAGCUCACUAUGUACGACUCCGAGACACCCAGCAAGACAGCAGGAGGGGCAGGACAGAAGUCUGCCACUUGUUAACAGGGACCAACAGCAGGAAGGUACCCUUUGGCCUGAAGAUCUUAUGACCCUGGCAGGUGGAAAAAAUGCUCCUCUGAGCGACCACCUCAAAGAGCAUGCUCUGCAGUACAUCAACAGAAUGGAAGGAGACAAAUACCUACCUCAUAUCCUAGAGGGCGGUUGGACUUGAUGAUCUCUGGAGGUCCCUUCCAACUUCUAAGAUUCUGCGAUUCUGUGAAGAGGGAGAGAUUUCAUGACAAAGGAGCAGGGGCAAGGAGACAACUUGAUCUGGAGGUGAGGACAUAUCAGACUGGCUUAAUAUUGCAGCUGGUAUUCAGAUUUCUUUGGACUCACCUUCAAAGAGCUCUUGCAAGUUUGUUAGUAGUGCUCUAUGAAAUGAACUCUACACAAACUAACAGACACAUUAAACUUGUGAAAAUAUGUGGUCAGGCAUCAAAGUGUGGAACAUCCUGGAAGAGCUUGACACGAUAGCAUGAUAGCUUGUUACGCUCAAGGAAUUCUGUGUUAUUUUAGCAACCAGAAGAAGAUAAU